AGGCCCUUUGGGGUACUCGAGCGGCGAACGGGUGAGUAACACGUGAGUAAUCUGCCCCUAGCUCUGGGAUAGCUCCGGGAAACCGGGAUUAAUACCAGAUAUGACCACUUUAGACAUCUGCUGUGGUGGAAAGGAUUCCGGCUAGGGAUGUGCUCGCGGCCUAUCAGCUUGUUGGUGAGGUAACGGCUCACCAAGGCGACGACGGGUAGCCGGCCUGAGAGGGCGACCGGCCACACUGGGACUGAGACACGGCCCAGACUCCUACGGGAGGCAGCAGUGGGGAAUAUUGCGCAAUGGGCGAAAGCCUGACGCAGCGACGCCGCGUGGGGGAUGAAGGCCUUCGGGUUGUAAACCCCUUUCAGCAGGGACGAAGCGAGAGUGACGGUACCUGCAGAAGAAGCGCCGGCUAACUACGUGCCAGCAGCCGCGGUAACACGUAGGGCGCAAGCGUUGUCCGGAAUUAUUGGGCGUAAAGAGCUCGUAGGCGGUCUGUUGCGUCCGCUGUGAAAUCUCGGGGCUUAACCCCGAGCCUGCAGUGGAUACGGGCAGACUAGAGGUAGGUAGGGGAGAAUGGAAUUCCUGGUGUAGCGGUGAAAUGUGCAGAUAUCAGGAGGAGCACCGGUGGCGAAGGCGGUUCUCUGGGCCUUACCUGACGCUGAGGAGCGA
rnacentral:rRNA from 1 species